GGGCGAUUAGCUCAGUGGGAGAGCGCUUCCUUCACACGGAAGAGGUCGGUGGUUCGAAACCACCAUCGCCUACCA
rnacentral:tRNA from 1 species